CGAAAGCCUGACGGAGCAAGACCGCGUGAGGGAGGAAGGCUCUUGGGUUGUAAACCUCUUUUCUCAGGGAAGAAGCUCUGACGGUACCUGAGGAAUCAGCCUCGGCUAACUCCGUGCCAGCAGCCGCGGUAAUACGGAGGAGGCAAGCGUUAUCCGGAAUUAUUGGGCGUAAAGCGUCCGCAGGUGGCAAUGUAAGUCUGCUGUCAAAACCCAGGGCUCAACUCUGGUCAGGCAGUGGAAACUACAUAGCUAGAGUGCCGUAGGGGUAGAGGGAAUUCCCGGUGUAGCGGUGAAAUGCGUAGAGAUCGGGAAGAACAUCGGUGGCGAAAGCGCUCUACUGGACGGCAACUGACACUCAGGGACGAAAGCUAGGGGAGCG
rnacentral:rRNA from 1 species